CUAGAAAUAGAGUCAUGCGAAGCAGGUCAGAGAAGAACAUGGAGAGCGGCCACUGUCAGCAUGAGGAGCCCAACAAAUCAGCCUGGUGAGAUGAGAAAAACAAAAUGCAGCUUUCAAGGUUCACUUCAAGCAGUUGGCUUGUGGGACUCUGAGAGAUGCUGCCACCCAUGACAUGUUGGAAUUACCAUGAUCAACUACCCAGUUUGGAUUUCAGCCAGUGGCCAGGAGCUUUGCAUGGUAGACAGCAAGGGUUGGACUUUUAAAAAGAGUAAACAAGAGUACUGCUAUCCAGAAGAGUAAGAUCUGAAUCGCUAGAGAAGAAGGCCAAGAGACAUUCCCAGUGAGAGGAUGCUUUAACACCUGCACAGAUGUUACUAUAAGUCUAGAAACAGCUAAGUAAUUUUGAGUGCUAAAAACACAACAAAACAGAAUUAAUUAAUUCCCUUGCGCUAUAUGGAAAUCUAUUUUUACAACUAUUUUGACAUAAAAUUGAGAAAAAGAAGUACCAUUUUUCAAGAUAAGUAAUGGAGGGACUCUAGUAAAUGAGGAACUCUAGUACAUUUUGAUUUUACAUUAAUUUAUGUAUUAGAUAUGGUAUUCCAUAAUGUAAAAUGUUUGUUUGAGUGACAGCCUUCAGGGAGCUGUAUCUUCUAGACAAAAGUAAGUUUUGUCUUUCAGUAAAAGGACAAAUUCCCUGGCACCUUUAUAAAUAGGUUAAAAGAUUGGUAUGAUGGAAGUGAACCCUCUCAUGGAAUUUAAAGUGCCUUUAAAAGCUAUCAAUUGCCACAAACUAUAAGGUUUUUCUCCAUUGAGUGUCAUGAUGAUGUAGUCUUCUACUAGAUGUGAAAUAAAUACAUAUAUGUCUAUCUUUUAUCUAGGCAGGUAAAUCAAGUGCCCUAAAAGGUUGCCUAUUUAUUCUCAAAAACUGGUUGUAGUGUAUUAAGAAAUAGUUGAGAGAAAAUAGGGGCAACCUUUGUGCACAUUUUAGUUAUUUUUAAAUGCCAUUUUAUUGCCAUAUUCUAAUAAUACAGUGGAAACAGCACCCAAAUAUAAGUGUUCUUUCAUAUAAUCUAACACAUUUUAGAAUUAAUUAUAGUACUAUUAAUAUUAAUGUUAAUAAUAACUAGAAUUUAUUAAGUAACUAUUAUGUAUUAGGAAGUAUGCCAAGCACUUGAGUGUAUUAUAAUUUAGUUUCUAAAAUUAUGCUCUGAGGUUAGCUUUUUAUUAUCCUUUUAUUAGCAGAUGAGGACUCUGAGAAUUGAGAUCCAGGAAGCCAUGCUAGGGCCCUGAGGCCACAUGGUUAGAGUGGUGGAAAUGGCAUUUGGCCCCAGGUGAGACCCCAAACCCUGGGAUUUUAACCCCUACUAUCUAAUUAACCAUGUCAUUUGAAUUUAAGAGUUUCUUCAUUUAACAUUUAUUUACCUUCCAAGAGAGACUACUAAACCAUGGUUACACAAAUAUAAUGUGAGUAAGAGGAAACAUUUAACUUACAGCUGAGAAUACUUAGGAAUAUAUUUACUUCUUGAUUGGGUGAAGGAAAUAAUCAUGUUUCCUUGCUCACCUAUGAUGACAGAUUAUCAUACAUUUAAAAAUCAUUGGCAUACACCAGUCUUUGUUUUUAAUUUCUACAAGGUCAGGGGUCAUGCCUUCUAUUUCUUUUGUGACAUAUCAUUGUGUUUGGUACAGUACCUUGCAGAGUUAAAGCAUUCAAAAAAAAAACGUUUGUCGACAGCUUUCUCAUUGGGCACCUGUCAGUAGCCUACAGUGUACUUUUUCAGAUUUAAUGAAACCAUACUCUUGUAAAAAAAAAAAGUGCAUCUAUUCUAAUACCCCUUGAAAAUCUAUAUACGUACUAUAGUGACUUGAAAACAUUCAUUAAUUUUUCUCUGCUUUGUUUUCUCACCUGUUUAUUGACGAAAAUAAUAACUGUUUUUUUUAGCAAGUUGAAACAUGAGGCAGUUUCUUAGAUAAUUGCUCUGAAAAUGCUUACUAGUUGCUUACCUUUCACUUCAACAGGUAGCUUAUUAAAGUUUUAGUCUUUAAACACUAGCUUCUUUUGUUUACUUUGCAUAUGUGAAAUUGAGACGAUCUAUUAAUGUUUUUUCUGUAAAUUAAUGUCCAAUCUACAUUAUGAUUUUGUUGUAGUUGUAACAGCCUCCAUAUUGACAUAAGUAAAUACCAAGUGACCUGGAGUCUCUCAUCCAGUGCUUCUACUACUCGGUAUAUACCUCAAAUUCUCCAUUAUUAAUUUCCUAACUGGUAUAAAGAAAGAGGGGGUGCCUGGGUGGGUCAGUCAGUUAAGCCCCCAACCUCAGCUCAGGUCACAAUCUUGCAGUUUGUGGGUCUGAGUCCCACAUUGAGGUCCUAGCCCCACAUUGAGCUCCGUGCUGGCAGUGCAGGAUCUGCUUGGGAUUCUCUCUCUCCUCUCUCCCCCUCCCCUACUUGUGUUCUCUCUCUCUCUCUCUCUCUCUCUCUCUCUCUCUCUCAGAUGAAUAAACUUAAAAAAAAAAGGAGUUGAAGGAGAUCAUUUCCAAGGUUUUUAAAGGGUUAUAUUUUCUAAAACUAUUAUAUUAUAUACUCUGCAUAUUUAUGUUACUGUAUAUAGUAAAUAUAGUAUUAUUUUCACUGACUAUUGUGAUUUGAUUGGAUUUCUUAAGAUACAACUCAUGAUUCAAGGUCAGAAUAAUGUUGGCUUAGAGUGGAAAUAUGUUCUGCUGAAUUCACUCAAUUAUGGUUUCUAUUUUUUAAAUAAUUUAUACUUUGAUUUGUGAAUUUGGGCAUUAGGCUUAGGGGUACAAUUUAGUUGUUCUAAGGAUGUUUGAAAAGUGGUAUGCUAUCUUCAAGUAAGACAUUUACAUGAUUUGUUUUAAAAUUUGUUGACUACAGUUUCUUAACCUCCAUUUCGUCUAUAUAAUAAUCUCUGUAUAAACCAUUUCAAAUGUUCUUUAGAAACAUAAAAAUAUCUAUUUAAAAAUUACCAUUAUAAAUGUUUGUGCUUGUUCUGAAAAUUCCAGAACAUAUGGAAUUACCUAAUCGCUGAGAGAUCUAAAAUUUUAGAGUGGAUUUAACUCCACAUUUUAUGGAAAAUAGAGAAACAGGUAUGAGGAGAUUAAGUGAAUUGUUCAAGGUCACAUAGCUAUUGAGUAAAUAAAUUUGAAUCUCCUAAUUCUAGGAGUGCCUGGGUAGCUAAAUUGGGACUUCAGCUCAGGUUAUGUUCUCACAGUUUGUGAGUUUGAGCCCAGGAUGAGGCUCUGUGCUGACAGCUUUGAGCCUGCUUUGGAUCCUCUGUCCCCCUCUUUCUCUGCCCUUCCCCUGCUCGUGCUCUCUCUCCUUCUCUCUCUUUCUCUCUAAAAAAUAAUAAAAAAAAAAACAUUAAAAAAAAAGAUCUCCUAACUCUCUCCAGCAUUUCUUCCCUCUAUAAUCUUGCCCAUAAUCUCUAGCGUAUUUUGCAUCUCUGUUGUUUGGGAUAUACAUAUUUAGGAUACACUGGGAUAUAUUGCUAUGUCUUCUUGAGGGAUUCACCCUUUUCCCUUAUAUAAUGUCCCUCUUGGUUUUGAUUUUUUUUAUUCUUAAAUGUAUCUGUCAUUAAUAUACAUUAGUGUCAUAUAUUAUAUUAUAUAUUGUAUGUAAAUGUAUAAUAUAUUAAUAUACAUAAAAAUGGAAUUAAUAUACACAUCUAAAUGAAAAUUAAACUCCUUAUCUCUUUAGGACAAGAAGUAGUUUUACAACUACCCUGAGAAAUUUAGGCUCCUUCUUAUUUUUUUCUUUUUUCAAAAUUUGUAUUGACCCUUACAGAAAGAGAGAAGGCACCUUAUUAUAGGAUACUUUGGAUUUGUUUCCACACCACCACAAUAAAGUGAGUCAAGUGAAUUUUUUUGUUACCCAGUGCACAUAUAAGUUAUUUUUACCCUAUACUAUAGUCUCUUCAGUGUGCAAUGGCUUUAUGUUGAAAAAACAACGUAUAUACCUUAAUUAAAAAUAUUGCUAAAAAAUGCUAACCAUGCCUCAAUGUUGAUGGCUACUGAAUGAUGAUGGUGGUGGUUGCUGAAGUUGGGGCAAAUUCUUAAAACAAGACAACAAUGAAGUUUGCUGCAUUGACUUUUUCUUUUCAUAAGUAAUUUUUGCAGCACGAAAUCCUGAUUAAUAGUAUUUUACCCAUGGUAGAACUUUAAAAAUUGGAGUGAAUCUUCUCAAAGUUGGUUGCUGCCUUAGCAAUUAAGCUUUUGUGUUAUUCUAAAUUUUUGUUGUCAUUUCAACUGUCUUUAAGCAUCUUCACUAGGAGUAUAUUCCAUCUCAAACAAAUCACUGUUUUUGGUCAUCCAUACAGAGAAAUUGUCAUUCAUUACAGUUGUAUCAUGGGAUUGCAGCAAUUCAGUCUCAUCUUCAAGCUCCACUUCUAAUUCUACUUAUCUUGCUAUUUCCACCACAACCUCACUUACUUCUCCACUGACGUUUUGAACCCCUCUAAGUCAUCCAUGGGUUUUAGAACAAACGUCUUCCAAACUCCUGUUCAUGUUGAAAAUUUGACUUCUUCCCAUGAAUCACAAAUGUUCUUAAUGGCAUCAGGAAUCCUUUCCGGAAGGUUUUCAAUGUACUUUGCCCAGAUCUAUCAGAAAUCACUGUCCAUGACAACUAUAGCUUUACAAAAUGUAUUUCUUCAACAAUAAGAUUUAAAAAUUGAAGACUCCCUGAUCACGGGGCUGCAGAAUAAGAGUUGUGUUAGCAGGAAUGAAAAUAACAUGAACCUCAUAGUACAUCUCCAUCAGAGCUCUUGGGUGACAGGGUGACAGGAGAGGAAGAGAGAUGGGGGAACAGCUCAAUGGUGGAGCAGUCGGAAAACACACAGCAUUCACUGAUUAAAUUUGCCUUCUUAUACGGGCAUGAUUUUUGACGCCUCAAAACAAUUACAGUAGUAACAUCAAAGAUCAUGGAUUGUAGAUCACCAUAACAAAAAUAAUAAUAAUGAAAAAAGUUGGAAAUAUUGUGAGAAAUACUAAAAUGUGACAACUACAUAAAAUGAACAAAUGCUAUUAGAAAAUGGCACUGAUAGAUUUCCUCAAUGCAGGGUUUCCACAAACCUUCAAUUUGUAGAAAACAAUAUCUGUGAAGCACAAUGACAUGAAGCACAAUCAAAUAAGAUAAGCCUGUACUGCCAGGUGGAAGUGAAAUCCAAGUUCCUCAUGUGGCCUAUAUUGACCCUGAUGGGGAGAGCUCCUCAAUACUGCUGAACAGGGUGGGACUUCCAGCUGACCAUUUGGUCUCCACUGA